AUAUUGAGAAGUAAUUGAUGUACAUCACUGUGUAAGUUUAAGGUGUUUGCCUCAAGUCUCUGGUAUAAUCUAGAAGCUAAAAUUUGUGUCUUCAACAAAGAAGGACAGUCUUAGAGCCUCUUGGAAAGGAUUCUAACAGGCCUCUGUUGUCACCAUGGGAACAUGCCCUGGCCAGCCUGUUGCAGGAUGAGAAAUGUGGAUGAGAGUAGUCGCCCCAGUGAAGAGUCAGCUGAUUCCAGACGUGACUAAACACAGGUUUUUGCUGUCUAAAAAUGGUGUCACUAUGGAUGUUCCUACAUAUGUCUCUGAAU